rnacentral:rRNA from 1 species
ACCUUCGGGCCUCUUGCCAUCAGAUGUGCCCAGAUGGGAUUAGCUUGUUGGUGAGGUAACGGCUCACCAAGGCGACGAUCCCUAGCUGGUCUGAGAGGAUGACCAGCCACACUGGAACUGAGACACGGUCCAGACUCCUACGGGAGGCAGCAGUGGGGAAUAUUGCACAAUGGGCGCAAGCCUGAUGCAGCCAUGCCGCGUGUAUGAAGAAGGCCUUCGGGUUGUAAAGUACUUUCAGCGGGGAGGAAGGUGUUGUGGUUAAUAACCGCAGCAAUUGACGUUACCCGCAGAAGAAGCACCGGCUAACUCCGUGCCAGCAGCCGCGGUAAUACGGAGGGUGCAAGCGUUAAUCGGAAUUACUGGGCGUAAAGCGCACGCAGGCGGUCUGUCAAGUCGGAUGUGAAAUCCCCGGGCUCAACCUGGGAACUGCAUUCGAAACUGGCAGGCUUGAGUCUUGUAGAGGGGGGUAGAAUUCCAGGUGUAGCGGUGAAAUGCGUAGA